AGAAGCUAAACGAUCUCACUAGUUAAAGGCAGACCGGGUUAACACUGGGGAACAAUAGAUGCUUUUGUCCUGUAUUCUUGAGGCUUCUUGGACUUCCAUUCACAGAAGGAACUGGGUUCAAGUGCUGCUCACCUACUGUCUUAGUUGAGCAACUCUAGGCAAACCACUUUGCCUCCUAGCAAUUCUCCUAUAGUCCCAUCUGUGCUGAGCUGCAGUGCUGGAGGAAAUUUGCUCACCAGGAGUUUCCAGUAUCAAAGAAAUCAAGGUGCCAGAUGCUGACAAAAUGCCAUUCAAGGAUGCUUUUCUUUAAGAAUUGAGAGAAGUCAAGAAAUGCAGUUUUCAGCCUAAGACCUGAGGGAUCCCGUUCACCAGCAAGCUAGAGCUGAAUUUCUGGUCAUGGGGAAGAGUGCCACCUACAGAAACACACAAGCCCACCAUAUAAGUACUUCCCUGGAAUGUGCUGCUCCUGGCAGUUCCAUCUACUCCAGAAACUCAGGGUCAGUUGCUUGGCUCCUUCUACUAAAAUGAGAUCUUUCUUCCACUGAGAAUUAAGAACUUGCAGAGUUGUUGGCUAAUCUAUAUCAACCUCUGAAAGAUUAAUCAGAUUUAUGACAAGCAAAGGAUAAGGACAUAUAUGAUAUAUAUGUCAUUAUCUCUAGUAAGAAUGAAACCCAUCAAUUUGGGCUCCUAAGAUCUGGGGAGUUUUUAAUCUUCAUUUUAUUUUAUUUGCAUUUAUAAAUGGUUAAAUAAAAUAGCUUUCAUUUUGUGUAA